AACCUUCUGGUGGCUUCCCCUUGCUCUUGGAAUGAAUCCCAGGGGCCUGCAGAGCCACAGGGAUGGCCCUGCCCACCUGCUCGGCCUCUGCCCCAGAAGCUCCUCCUCGCUCCUGCGGGGCAGCUACAGACACCUGGAGUGCUUUUCUGCCUCUGCGGCGUUCUUAGCCUUGCUUGUGUAGAUCUUCCUAGAUCAGCUACUGUGCUAGACUGUAAGCUCCCUGAGGGGCAGCUGCAGACACCUGGAGUGCUUUUCUGCCUCUGCGGCGUUCUUAGCCUUGCUUGUGUAGAUCUUCCUAGAUCAGCUACUGUGCUAGACUGUAAGCUCCCUGAGGGGUGCCUGCUGAGCUCCCCUCUGCCUUUUCCCAGGGCAGUGAUGGUGUGAAGAUUGGCAAUGAUUUGUUAACUGUCCUAGGGGAGCCCCUAGCCUGCAGUAGGCCUGGAGCAAAGGGAAGAUUUUGAAAUCGUGUGUGUUGAAAUGAGUGGACCCAGAGAUGAAUGAGACAAGCUCCCUGCCCUUGGAAACCCAACAAAAGAGUGAGGCGUGGAGAACAGUUUCAAGGAACUUCUGGAAAAGGGCUGUGAAAAUCAUGCUGCGGGAACACCUGCAUCAUUGCUGGCCUGGAAACUGAGGACGGCUUCCGGGAGGGGGUUGCCUGGGAGAUGCGUCCAUAGGGCCUCCUGGGGAGCGGAUGGGCGCGGAUGGUGGCCAAGCUUGUCAAGGGAAAAUGGCCCCAGAGAAACGCGCAGUGGGAGGAGAUAAAGAAGAAUUCUACUUUUUAAAGGUUUUUCUUAGAAAAGCAACACGUGCUCAUCGGGAAAAUGGCAGUACAAGUUUGAAUAUCGUAAAGCGCGGGUCUCACUUCUUCCUGCCCCACUGUAUCCUUGGGCGAGAGCGGCGGUGGCCUCGAGGAUAAUCCUGGGACUUGGGUCGGACUGGGCUGGUGAAUCUUCAGGACACAUCGGAGGAGGGCAGCUUUCCAAGGUUGAGCCGCCUGGGACCGCUGUGAAUGGAAUUGUCGACACUGCCCCCUGGCCCGGAAUGCCUCCAUGUUAGCCCCCUGCUCAUCUCCAGCUGGUCUCCCAUGGUGUAGGGUAAAAGGUGAUGGAGCCGGAAGAGCAAGGGCCCCAUAGUCAGCACACGGGGGUUCACGGCCCAGCUUCCUGUGUCUUGGCUGAGCAACCUUGGGCAAGCCAUUCUGCCUCUCUGAACGAGCUCCGUUUGCCAGCUGUGAAGUGGGGGUGGGAAUAAGACCCACUCACCUGGUGAUUGCGAUGAAAUCAGCAGAUAUGAAAGUGCUUUUAGACUGCAACGUGAAGGUGUUAAACGUGGGUCUGUCACUAGAGAUGAGGGUUGACUUGAACCACAGGAACCACCCCCCUGCCCGGGCUCUGACCUGGGCACUUUUGUCUUGUUGCUUGUCCCCGCUGGGGAGGCGAUCUUUCCAUGCGAGAGCGUCAUGUUGCUUUUUGCCCCCGUAAAGGUUGACGACCACUAUGCUGACUACGCCGCCUGCAUCAGCCACUCCAAAGAGUCCGCUUUGAUACCUUAGAGUCUUAAAACACCUGCUGUCGGAACCGUACAAUUGAUUUCAAUUAACUUUGAAUUUUUUCAAUGAAAUGACUCUGAUAAU
ensembl:lncRNA novel transcript